rnacentral:rRNA from 1 species
AAUACGGAAGGUGCAAGCGUUAAUCGGAAUUACUGGGCGUAAAGCGCGCGUAGGUGGUUUGUUAAGUUGGAUGUGAAAGCCCUGGGCUCAACCUAGGAACUGCAUCCAAAACUAACUCACUAGAGUACGAUAGAGGGAGGUAGAAUUCAUAGUGUAGCGGUGGAAUGCGUAGAUAUUAUGAAGAAUACCGGUGGCGAAGGCGGCCUCCUGGAUCUGUACUGACACUGAGGUGCGAAAGCGUGGGUAGCGAACAGGAUUAGAUACCCUGGUAGUCCACGCCGUAAACGAUGACAACUAGCUGUUGGGAGACAAUGUCUUUCAGUGGCGCAGCUAACGUUUUAAGUUGUCCGCCUGGGGAGUACGGCCGCAAGGCUAAAACUCAAAUGAAUUGACGGGGACCCGCACAAGCGGUGGAGCAUGUGGUUUAAUUCGAUGCAACGCGAAAAACCUUACCUACUCUUGACAUACUUGGAAGCUCUUGUAAUGAGAGUGUGCCUUUUGGAACUAAGAUACAGGGCUGCAUGGCUGUCGUCAGCUCGUGUCGUGAGAUGUUCCGUUAAGUCGGAUAACGAGCGCAACCCUUACCCUUAUUUGCCAGCGAUUCGGUCGGGAACUAUAAGGGGACUGCCGGUGAUAAACCGGAGGAAGGUGAGGACGACGUCAAGUCAUCAUGGCCCUUACGAGUAGGGCUACACACGUGCUACAAUGGGGAAUACAGACGGACGCUAAGCCGCGAGGUGGUGCUAAUCCUAAAAAGUUCUUCGUAGUCCGGAUUGGAGUCUGCAACUCGACUCCAUGAAGUCGGAAUCGCUAGUAAUCGCGAAUCAGCAUGUCGCGGUGAAUACGUUCUCGGGUCUUGUACACACCGCCCGUCACACCAUGGAAGUGGAUUGCACCAGAAGUAGAUAGUCUAACCUUCGGGAGGGCGUUUACCAACGGUGUGUUUCAU